rnacentral:rRNA from 1 species
CACGUAGGAGGCGAGCGUUGUCCGGAAUCAUUGGGCGUAAAGAGCGCGCAGGCGGCUUGGCAAGUCGGGUGUGAAAUCCCGGGGCUCAACCCCGUGACUGCAUCCGAUACUGUCAGGCUAGAGGUAGGUAGGGGAGAUCGGAAUUCCUGGUGUAGCGGUGAAAUGCGCAGAUAUCAGGAGGAACACCGGUGGCGAAGGCGGGAUCCUGGGCCAGUACUGACGCUGAGGAGCGAAAGCGUGGGGAGCAAACAGG